UCCCGGUUCACCCGGGCAGUCUCAUUAGAGUUCCCACCUUAUAUGCUGGCAACUAAUGAUAAGGGUUGCGCUCGUUGCUGGACUUAACCAAACACCUCACGGCACGAGCUGACGACAGCCAUGCAGCACCUGUGCAAAGGCCCCUAAGGGAAAUAACAUUUCUGCUAUCGUCCUUUGCAUGUCAAGUCUGGGUAAGGUUUUUCGCGUUGCAUCGAAUUAAACCACAUGCUCCACUGCUUGUGCGGGUCCCCGUCAAUUCUUUUGAGUUUCACCCUUGCGAGCGUACUCCUCAGGCGGUAUACUUAUCGCGUUAGCUUCGGCACAACUAGGGUUGAGUCCAGUUACACCAAGUAUACAUCGUUUACGGCAAGGACUAC
rnacentral:misc_RNA from 1 species